rnacentral:lncRNA from 1 species
GGAUUCUUCUUCAGAGUCCUCAUACAAAGGAGGGAUUUAAUCAGUCAAAUUUAACUUCCAAAUCCCAGCCAUGAAACACAAUUCAAAUUCAUGGGUAGAAGAAUCACAUCCUCAUUUCAAGGUCUAAGAACAACAAUAAACGAGUUUUUCUGUCUCUAGUCGUUUUGUUCUAGUAGUCUUUGCCAAAAUGUACGAAAUAGAAAUUAUCUUUAAAGGAGAGUCUGGACAUUCAACAGCUCAAACGUUAACUGAUUCAAUUUUUGUGUGUGAAAAUGCCUGCUAAUGCUGCUUUUGGAUGCCAGAAUAAUCAUUUUCCAGGAAAAGAUACAUCGUUUUUUUGCUUUCCGAAAGGUUUACACCAAAAUAAAGCAUGGUUACGUGUUCUUAGGCAGGAAGAUAUUUUUUAUUCAAUAAACCGAAAGGAAGGCAUUUAAGACCUGGUGCAAUCCCCAGCAAAUUGUCUUAUUCUAAAAAAGAAAAACAAAGAAAAACACUUUAUUCCAUAAAGUUACAUGAUCAAGGUGGAGAUAAUUCAUCUGAAAAUGACACAGAACCGGAACGUUGUAUACUCCUUGAACACUCCUAUGCCAAUUCAACAGAUGAAACAGUUUCCAAAUUACGGCUACUCAAAUUAUUGAAUUCAAACUUAAUGUACGAGAGUGUUCCUCAUAAACUGACGAACACCAGCCUAAUUCAGGGAGGAAUACAUUAGUAAAUACAUAUUAAAGGUAUUAAUGAGGCAAUUCAUACGUUAUCUGUGCAGUUAUACAAAAAAUAUCGCCGUCUGGUCUCCUUGUACCAUAAAAAAGCAUUGCAACUACGAAUUGUUUGUGGUACCACAGAAUACGAGAUGCUACUUCGACAAGGAUUUCCUCUACCAAGUAUAAGGACAUUGAGAAGACGGUUG